rnacentral:lncRNA from 1 species
AUGUUCCAAAUCCCAACAACUGCUCCUGGGCCAAAGGAAUGGACUUCAGGCAGAUUGACACCAUGGAGAACCUGUUCCCUCACUCAGAAGGUCUUACUGCCUGUCCACUGCUGCUGGUCUCUGAGAGCAUCUGUGAGGUGGAAAUCAUCGAGAAACCACAUCCUGUCACGCUUGAACAUAGGCUUCCACUGCUGCUCCUACCCCAGAAACAUCAGGCCAGUCCUCAGUGACGUACUCCACCGUUCUCCUCUCCGGUCAGCCCAGUCUCCAUCGAAAGCAGCAGGAGAGUCUGAGCAGCUCCAGUGAUGAAGGCAACUUCUCUGGCAACAACUCUGACAUUUCUGGCUCUUUCCCUGGGGGACUCUGGGACUUGGAGAACCAUGUGUGCUCUGACAGCGCAAAUCCCCGCCAUUCCAGCUCCUACAACUCUGUGGAAGAGUUCUCGGAAACAUCAGAUCAAGAUUAUGAAGCAUCAGAAAGCACAGGUGUAGCCAAAGACCUCUACUACCUCGAGGUAAACGAAGAGGAGAAGGAAGAAGAUGAAGAGGAGAUCGAGGAAACACAGGGUGAAUGGGAAAAGAAUGAAAUGGUUAUGAGGGUGGAUGAUUUCUUCUCUUAUGUCAGUCUUCGAACCCGGAUGUGCUGCGCCUUGUUUGCAAGCAGAGAACUGCAAACACAUUCAUCGUGGUACUGUAAUGAAUGCGCAUUGAAGACUGACACAAGAGAAAAAAUUGUUGAAUCAAGUCGUUAUUUUUUUCUUCUUUGCGCACAAAAAAUAUUCUCGUAGCUUCAUAAAAUUAAAGUUGAACCACUGAUGUCACAUGGACUGCUUUAACAAUUUCGUUUCUACCUUUCUGGGCCUUGAACGUGGUAGUUGCAUUGCUAUCUAUGCAGGGUCAGAAAGCUCUUAGAUUUCAUCAAAAAUAUAUUAAAAUGUGUUCUGAAAAUGAACAAUGGUCUUACAGGUUUGGAACAAAAUGAGUGUGAGUAAUUAAUGACAGAAUUUUCAUUUUUGGGUCAACUAUCCCUUUAACAUUUUUAUUAUUAUUGCUAAAUGGAAAUAUUAGAAUAACUGUAAAAUACAGAAUGGUCUAUUUAAAUAAAUACUAUAAUAAAAAUAAUCAUUAUAAUCAUUUUAUUUUAGAGUACAACUGUAAAAUUACAGUACUAAUAUUUAUAAAUUACAGUCUAAAUUUCUUAAUUGAAACAAUUAGCUGAAGGAAAUCUUCAGGGAGACUUUAAACCUUCUCUUUUGUCGAAACAGCUGGCUUCUCAUUAUAAGUUUGGUCAGAUGGUUAGCAUGUUGCGUUUUUGCACACUGCGCAUUAUAAGUGUUAUAACAGAUGCAGUUUAUGUGGAGCAGCAUUUAUUUUGAAUCAAGUCACACGUAAAAGAAAACAGUGCCGAGCUUCACUCUGAAAUGCGCAGCGCAUAUUUUUAUUUAAAUCACAGUCUUCAUGACUUGAUAACCGCACUAAGACAUUCGCUAUUUCGUUUUUAUUUUGAUUAAUUGUGCAGCCCUACUUUCCACCCUCAAAUUUUUGGGAUUUGAAAAAUAAAUUUUUUUCACAAUUCUCCUACCAACCCAGUGUAUCAAAUGACUGUUUUAUGGUCCAUUUGAUUUGUGGUUAAUAUAUUAUAUCUUUGAGGGUUUACAGCCAGGUUUCCCAGGCUCAGUUGAUAGUUGCUUUCCAUCUUCAUCACGUGGAACCUUUCGAAGCCUGAAGUAAAAUCUUGUAAAGACCACACUAACUGGAAUGAAGCGCUUUAACAAGAAAGAGUCUGAAGUAGGAAGGACUUUAUCAUCUCUCUCAGUGUGGUGGUCACAGGCACGGUUUAGUGGCCGUUUGUGCAUUUUUAGGUGCUUCAUCAAGUCCAGGUUAUCAUAAGUGAAGGGGCUUGUGAAGAGGCGUCCAUCAAAAUAUCAGCUUUGUGAAGAAAUAGCCUCUCGUGUCUGCAUUUACAUUGGGCUUAUUCAUUCAAUAUGAAUGUAUAUUUUGUCAGUGAGGUCUAUGUUCUUUGGAAACUCAAAUAUUUUGAGUCUAAAAAGUGUCACCUAUUUUCAUUGUAUGGUAUUUUUUGAUGAAAUGAGGGUUGAAUGUAACUCAGUGAAUAAAACUGGUUAAAUAUGUCAGAGUAUCAUUAAGAAUGUCUGUACAGUAUACAGUAUCUCUUGUCUAUUUUUCUGGUCAGAAUAAACUAUUUAUUGCAGUAAUGGCCAAAUGUUUGUCUUGCAACAUUCUAUUUCGCCGAAUGAAGAGGAUUGCAACAUUUCCAUUUAGAUUACUAAAUGCGAGUUGAUUUCUGCGCAUAAACGUAGGGAGAUUUUCUGCGUCUUCGGUUGCGGAAGGAUGACUUUCUU